UAAGCAUAUCAAUAAGCGGAGGAAAAGAAACCAACCGGGAUUGCCUCAGUAACGGCGAGUGAAGCGGCAAGAGCUCAAAUUUGAAAGCUGGCUCCUUCGGAGUCCGCAUUGUAAUUUGCAGAGGAUGCUUUGGGUGCGGCCCCCGUCUAAGUGCCCUGGAACGGGCCGUCAGAGAGGGUGAGAAUCCCGUCUUGGGCGGGGUGUCCGUGCCCGUGUAAAGCUCCUUCGACGAGUCGAGUUGUUUGGGAAUGCAGCUCUAAAUGGGUGGUAAAUUUCAUCUAAAGCUAAAUACUGGCCGGAGACCGAUAGCGCACAAGUAGAGUGAUCGAAAGAUGAAAAGCACUUUGAAAAGAGAGUUAAACAGCACGUGAAAUUGUUGAAAGGGAAGCGCUUGCGACCAGACUCGCCCGCGGGGUUCAGCCGGCAUUCGUGCCGGUGUACUUCCCCGUGGGCGGGCCAGCGUCGGUUUGGGCGGCCGGUCAAAGGCCCCUGGAAUGUAGUGCCCUCCGGGGCACCUUAUAGCCAGGGGUGCAAUGCGGCCAGCCUGGACCGAGGAACGCGCUUCGGCACGGACGCUGGCAUAAUGGUCGUAAACGACC
rnacentral:rRNA from 1 species